CAAGUUUAAUUAUACGUUUAUCAAUAUUCAUAUCAUUGCACAUAGUAAACCGUAAUUAUUGCAUAUUUACACAAGGAUUUUAACAGAGAAAUCGCAGAACAAGAAAACUAACAAUUAGAAGUAACUUAUUUGAUUAUGAAACAUUUUUAACACAUAAUAUAUAAUAAAAUAAAUACUAAUAAUUGAAAAAGCUGUAAACGAGCUGAUCUAAAACAAAAACAAAGAGCUGUUGUGAUCCCUGGUCACAGUCUGCAGAUCCUCCGCUCUCCUCACAGUUACCACACACGGCUUGUGGCAUUUCAAGUGUCCGGCGUUUGGUUCCGUUUGCAGUUCUUUCGGACCGGCACCGCCUCCGUGUCCGUGUCUGCUGCUGCAGCGGUGGUUGGUUCCGCUGCUGCCCAGCUUGUGCCGCCUGCAGCGGCUCCUUUCCCCUCCAUGUAUUCUGCCCUCAGCUCCUCUGCAGCUGCUGCGGGACUUUCCUCCGGGUCUCCUGCUGCUGCUGCUCCGUGAAUAACAUGCGGACAUUGAUCCCAGCCAGGCCGAGGAUGUUACAGAAGACACUGGUCAUCUUCCUCCGCCGUGGACGGACUCGCCGUACUCGGUAUUGUUGUAGUAAAUCACAGACUCUGCCUUUUUUUGCCUUCGCCCCACUAAAGGUGUGCACACCUGCACGUGCAGGUGCUCAGGAUGCAGACAUUGUUCCUCGGCUUUCCCUGGUACACAGUCAGAGUCGCGUCACCGCACUGUGUUGAACAGCUCCGCUGCCGUUUCACGGAGGGGAACUCCCGUUUCUGUUUGCCCAUGGUGCCAACCAGGCGGUAUAAUACAACUAUGUAAUAAUAAUUAACUUACAAGUAAAUUGACAGAGAAGCGCAGCUGCAGACCGCAAACACAGUUAGAGACGAGAGAGACAAAGAAAGCAGCAAACCGCCCGAAACGAUGUGCGGCCAAUAUGACUGUUUAUGGCCGAAAUAGGUGUGGUCUCACAGCAGGUGGCGCUGAAGCGCCUGAACGGAUCCCAGCCACCAUAAAACUGAGAGUGUCAUGUUAUUUCAAGAUAAAACCACAUCAGACAGGAACAAUCGACAACCAAGCGUUUACAACUCACUGCUGAAGCAUCUCACAGAAGUCGUCUUCUGGUCCCAGAGGUCCAGCAGAUCCACGUCAGAACCACAGGCGGUCCAAAACCUGAUGAAAGAGCUUUUCCUGCUGUCACUAUUUGAAAGAAGUUACCUGGGCUGCUCCUCCUCCUCCUCUUCCUCCUCCUCUUCCUCCUCCUCACUCCACCUGCACCUCCUCCCCUCGUUAGCUCAGUUCGGUCUUUGUCGAGUCUUCACAACAGUCGCAGCUCACCUGCAGGCUUAUUUUUGUAUUAAAGAAAUUAAAUAUUAAGAAUGUUUAAACUCCUGCAGAUCAAUGACAGACGCAUCGACAGAGCUGCUGAAACCAUCCAGAACCCUUUAAAAGAGCCCAGAACACUCUGGUUCUGUACUGCAGACGGAUCAACAACAGCUUGGAUUUUACGUGGUGCUGGAUGAGGAUCUGUACAGUUCUGGUUGUAAACCGUCUCUCAUCUGCUACACUGUGAGUGAGGCUGAAUCCCGAGCUCCUCCUCUGGACUUGCUGGCUUCAGUCAAACGUACCAUGGCGCGUUCACUGUCUUCACACCAAGUCAGCGAGCCAAUCAUGAGCCACCGAUGGACAGGAAGACCUCAGUAAUUAAAUGCAUUUUGAUUUUGACCUCUACAGUCUAAACUUCUACAUAUUUCUGUUUCAUGAUGUGGCUGAAUGUCAUUUCUGGCCGACAAGAUUCAAGAAAAUGUAUAAUAAAGUCAUUAUUCUACA